AAUGAGCUGAGGGGGGCAACCUUUUAAGUGCUGGAGCCCAACAGACUGAGCAGUUAGGAGACAUGGACCAGACGUGAACACUUGUAAUGAAGGCGUCUAAUGACAAGGUGCAAACAGAUUCCAGACGAGCUGCUUGGCUGCUCUGUCUUGUGCCCUGGACAGGAUAUCAUCUUAUACUGUAAGUUUUUUAAAGAGACACUACAGUAUAGAUGAUGUACUAUCCAGGGUAUCAUUCCACCGCCGCCGGCGCCGGAGGAGACUCGGACUGAAACGUCAGGGGGCCGAACACACAGCCGAGGAGGGCAGUUAAACCGUUACCAUUACUGAGUUUUAGUAAUGGUAAGGGUUCUACGGCCUUCGCUCAAUGACGACGAAGGAAAGGACGAGCUGGAGCAUUGUCACAUUUAAACCAAUAAUGUCAAAUAAAAAUGAUGGUUGUCUCCCUUACAUGAGUGCCUCUUUCAUUUGUAGAAUCUGCUCUUAAUGGUUUUGUGUUUCUGUAGGUUUCAAAAAUUCAAAUUUAAGACUUUGUAACUGUUUAAGAUAUUUUUUAAGACAGUUAUGAGUGAAAUGUAUGAAUAUCGUCCAAACGUCAGUACAUUUUCACCCACCCCAUGAUCAGUAUUGUAUAAAACUAUUCAACACAUGCUAGCCAGAUAGCAAGUGUUGGGCAUAUUAGUGCUAAUUACUGGCAGGUUCAACCGCCUUGAGAAUCGCAAUGACGAGUGCGACUCAAGCUUUUGCCUGACAGAAAAGUUCAGCAAGAAAAAAAAAUAUACGGGGUUAAAUAGACGUGGCGAAACAACAUUUUAAUUUACCAUUAUGAUUAACUUAUCUAAGGCUAAUUUACGUUUUAAAAAAAUUCAGUUACAUGACUUGUAGACUUUUUAAGAAUGCGUGGACAUCCUGCAUUAGAUCUAAAUUAAUUUUCUAGACUGAGCUGGAGUUAGCUUGUCUAAGGCAGCGAUUUUUUGCUCUGUCAAAUCAAGAGGGGAGGUAGCAGCUGUUCAGAGAACAAGGAGCGCUUCGGGGACUGACGGCUUCAGUCUGUGAGGAAACUCUCACCCCCCUUCCCUGACAUCAGGACACUUACUAACUGGUUAUUCAUCAAGAUGCCCUGAACUGCUGAGUUAACCCACAGGCAGCGGGAAUGAAUCGAAUCCCCAUUAUCUGACCCACUUUAGCAUCAGGUUAGUGCUCCACUUUCCCCAUCCAUUAGAGAGACAAUGUAGCCCUCGGAGGCAGAGACGGGCUUUAGAGGAUCCAAAAGAACGGAGCGAGGGUUAAAAACACGGAGGAGAAGAAGAAGAAAAAGAGGGAAAGUGAUGGUCGCAGAGAUGGAUGGCUACACUUCAAAGGGCAGCAGAGACGGCUAAAGUGAUGAAGGGAGUGGAGGGAACUGGGUUGGACGGUACAUCAGGGACAUGUGAGUGAACAUGACGGUGCAGCUCUCGCCUUCGGUUUAUCUACAGCGCAGCGUUUGUGCCCGCCGAGGGAAGAAAAAGCCCUGAGAGCCAAAGAUAAAAACGUCGGCCUUUUCACAGCCUGCCAAACCCGCUCAGCCAUGAAGGAGCUGUCAAAGUCGUGUCAAAACAUCCAUUUGAUGAGCCGCCGUGUCAUGUUUGCUACCAAAAAGCAGAGAUCUUCAGCCUGACGUCCCUCAGGUAGACCCGGCUGAGGUCCUCCCCCGCCUCCCGGGCGAUGCGCGCCACCGUCUGGCCGGCCGCGCCGAUCACCAUGGUCUGCAGACACGAGAAGCGACGCAACAGGCCGCAGUGCUGUGACGGCUCUCCUCACCUGGGUCAUGGAGUAGGGCACUUCCUGUGGCAGAUACUCCAGCAGCUUUUCCCUGAUGAUGUUGGCGCAGACGUCCUCUGGACUCUGAAGACAGCAUGAAGACGUCCUUAAAGUGAGGCCAGCCCUGCUGACUCUUCAGCUGCUUCAGUUUCUCUUUGCUCAGCACAGAGUCUGGCGUUUCACCGCCCUCAAGUGCUGCC